rnacentral:rRNA from 1 species
GGCUGACGGCUCAGUAACACGUGGAUAAUCUGCCCUUAGGUGGAGGAUAACCUCGGGAAACUGAGAAUAAUACUCCAUAGGCCUAGGAUGCUGGAAUGCACUUAGGCUCAAAGUUCCGACGCCUAAGGAUGAGUCUGCGGACUAUCAGGUUGUAGUCAGGGUAAUGACCUGACUAGCCUACGACGGAUACGGGUUGUGAGAGCAAUAACCCGGAGAUGAUAUCUGAGACACGAUAUCAGGCCCUACGGGGCGCAGCAGGCGCGAAAACUUCACAAUGCGCGAAAGCGCGAUGAGGGAAUCCCAAGUGCUUGCACGUAAGUGUAGGCUGUUUUUAUGUUUAAAAAGCAUAGAGAGUAAGGGCUGGGUAAGACGGGUGCCAGCCGCCGCGGUAAUACCUGCAGCCCAAGUGGUGGCCGCUAUUAUUGGGCCUAAAACGUCCGUAGCCGGUUUAAUAAAUGCCCGGGUAAAUCGUGUAGCUUAACUAUACGAAUUCCGGGUAGACUGUUAAACUUGGGACCGGGAGAAGUUAGAGGUACUCCUGGGGUAGAGGUGAAAUUCUGUAAUCCUAGGGGGACCACCGGUGGCGAAGGCGUCUAACUAGAACGGGUCUGACGGUGAGGGACGAAGCCCUGGGGCGCAAACCGGAUUAGAUACCCGGGUAGUCCAGGGUGUAAACGCUGCUUGCUUGAUGUUAGUUGGGCUCCGAGCCCAA